UCAGGGACUGAGGUGUGAGAAUUGCUUCAUCUCAGAAGUUCUGACCUAUCGUGUACUAUACUGAGAAAUGAACACACUCAUCAGUGAUAUUGAACCCUAGCAAAGAGGAAAACUUGGUUGCUUGAGGUUGGCUGAGCAUUUCCAGGCCAGAAAAUGGAGCAGGUCA
rnacentral:sRNA from 1 species